rnacentral:rRNA from 1 species
UACGAGGGGGCAAGCGUUGUUCGGAAUUAUUGGGCGUAAAGGGUGCGUAGGCGGUCUGACAAGUCUGAUGUGAAAUCUAUGGGCUCAACCCAUAGUCUGCAUCGGAAACUGUCGGGCUUGAGUAUGGGGAGAGGUGAGUGGAAUUUCCGGUGUAGCGGUGAAAUGCGUAGAUAUCGGAAGGAACACCUGUGGCGAAAGCGGCUCACUGGACCAUACUGACGCUGAGGCACGAAAG